rnacentral:rRNA from 1 species
UAGCAUAUCAAUAAGCGGAGGAAAAGAAACCAACAGGGAUUGCCCCAGUAACGGCGAGUGAAGCGGCAGCAGCUCAAAUUUGAAAUCUGGGGUCCCCGACCUCCGAGUUGUAAUUUGGAGAGGCAUCUUCGGGGGGGAGCGCCGGCCCAUGUUCCUUGGGACAGGACGUCACAGAGGGUGAGAAUCCCGUGCCUGGCCGGCUGCCUCCUCCCGGGUGAAGGGCCUUCGACGAGUCGAGUUGUUUGGGAAUGCAGCUCCAAGUGGGUGGUAAAUUUCAUCUAAAGCUAAAUACCGGCGGGAGACCGAUAGCGCACAAGUAGAGUGAUCGAAAGAUGAAAAGCACUUUGAAAAUAGAGUCAAAAAGUACGUGAAAUUGUUGAAAGGGAAGCGCUUGAGACCAGACUCAGGCCCGGGCAAACAUCGCGCCCCUCGGGGCCGUGCAAUUGCCUGGGCCUGGGCCAGCAUCAGUUGGCGUGGCGGGACAAAGGCGCGGGGAAUGUGGCUCCCCUCGAGGAGUGUUAUCAGGCCCGCGCUCAAUGCCGCCGACGUCGACUGAGGACCGCGCCUCGGCUAGGAUGCUGGCUUAAUGGCCUUCAGCGACCCGUCUUGAAACACGGACCAAGGAGUCUAACAUCUAUGCGAGUGUUUGGGCGACAAACCCUUGCGCGGAAUGAAAGUGAGCGGAGGUGGGAACCCCCCAGCGGGGCGCACCAUCGACCGAUCCUGAUGUCUUCGGAUGGAUUUGAGUAGGAGCAUAGCUGUUGGGACCCGAAAGAUGGUGAACUAUGCCUGAAUAGGGUGAAGCCAGAGGAAACUCUGGUGGAGGCUCGCAGCGGUUCUGACGUGCAAAUCGAUCGUCAAAUUUGGGUAUAGGGGCGAAAGACUAAUCGAACCAU